rnacentral:rRNA from 1 species
GUCUAUAUGAAGGUGUAUAUAGUUUGGCCUGCUCACUGAUUAUAUUAAAGAGCCGCAGUAUUUUGACUGUGCGAAGGUAGCAUAAUAAAUUGUCUUUUAAAUGGAGGCUUGAAUGAAAGGUUGGACAAAGUGUCAUCUGUUUCUUAAAUACUUAUUGAAUUUGACUUUCAAGUGAAAAGGCUUGAAUAAAUUAAAAAGACGAUAAGACCCUAUAAAUCUUUACAAUAAAUAUGUUUUAUAUUUUUAUUUAUAAAGUGAAUAAAAUAUUAAGUUUGUAGUUGUUUCGCUGGGGCGGCGUAGAUAUAUAAACUAACUGUCUAUAUUUUAAAUACAAUAAUUAUUGAUUAAUAAAAUUGAUCCUUAAAUAGAUUAAAAGAUUAAGAUACUUUAGGGAUAACAGCGUUAUUUUUUCUGAGAGUUCUUAUCGAAGAAAAAGUUUGCGACCUCGAUGUUGAAUUAAAGUAUCUUUAUGGUGCAGUCGCUAUAAGAGAGAGUCUGUUCGACUUUUAAUACUUUACAUGAUUUGAGUUCAGACCGGCGUGAG